rnacentral:rRNA from 1 species
AGCGACGCCGCGUGAAGGAAGAAGUAUCUCGGUAUGUAAACUUCUAUCAGCAGGGAAGAUAGUGACGGUACCUGACUAAGAAGCCCCGGCUAACUACGUGCC